rnacentral:rRNA from 1 species
AUUGAACGCUGGCGGCAGGCCUAACACAUGCAAGUCGAGCGGAUGAAGGGAGCUUGCUCCUGGAUUCAGCGGCGGACGGGUGAGUAAUGCCUAGGAAUCUGCCUGGUAGUGGGGGAUAACGUCCGGAAACGGGCGCUAAUACCGCAUACGUCCUGAGGGAGAAAGUGGGGGAUCUUCGGACCUCACGCUAUCAGAUGAGCCUAGGUCGGAUUAGCUAGUUGGUGGGGUAAAGGCCUACCAAGGCGACGAUCCGUAACUGGUCUGAGGGGAUGAUCAGUCACACUGGAACUGAGACACGGUCCAGACUCCUACGGGAGGCAGCAGUGGGGAAUAUUGGUCAAUGGGCGAAAGCCUGAUCCAGCCAUGCCGCGUGUGUGAAGAAGGUCUUCGGAUUGUAAAGCACUUUAAGUUGGGAGGAAGGGCAGUAAGUUAAUACCUUGCUGUUUUGACGUUACCAACAGAAUAAGCACCGGCUAACUUCGUG